rnacentral:rRNA from 1 species
AAGGGAGCUUGCUCCCGGAUGUUAGCGGCGGACGGGUGAGUAACACGUGGGUAACCUGCCUGUAAGACUGGGAUAACUCCGGGAAACCGGAGCUAAUACCGGAUAGUUCCUUGAACCGCAUGGUUCAAGGAUGAAAGACGGUUUCGGCUGUCACUUACAGAUGGACCCGCGGCGCAUUAGCUAGUUGGUGAGGUAACGGCUCACCAAGGCGACGAUGCGUAGCCGACCUGAGAGGGUGAUCGGCCACACUGGGACUGAGACACGGCCCAGACUCCUACGGGAGGCAGCAGUAGGGAAUCUUCCGCAAUGGACGAAAGUCUGACGGAGCAACGCCGCGUGAGUGAUGAAGGUUUUCGGAUCGUAAAGCUCUGUUGUUAGGGAAGAACAAGUGCAAGAGUAACUGCUUGCACCUUGACGGUACCUAACCAGAAAGCCACGGCUAACUACGUGCCAGCAGCCGCGGUAAUACGUAGGUGGCAAGCGUUGUCCGGAAUUAUUGGGCGUAAAGGGCUCGCAGGCGGUUUCUUAAGUCUGAUGUGAAAGCCCCCGGCUCAACCGGGGAGGGUCAUUGGAAACUGGGAAACUUGAGUGCAGAAGAGGAGAGUGGAAUUCCACGUGUAGCGGUGAAAUGCGUAGAGAUGUGGAGGAACACCAGUGGCGAAGGCGACUCUCUGGUCUGUAACUGACGCUGAGGAGCGAAAGCGUGGGGAGCGAACAGGAUUAGAUACCCUGGUAGUCCACGCCGUAAACG